AGUGAACGCUGGCGGUAGGCCUAACGCAUGCAAGUCGAACGGCAGCACAGGAGAGCUUGCUCUCUGGGUGGCGAGUGGCGGACGGGUGAGGAAUACAUCGGAAUCUACUUUUUCGUGGGGGAUAACGUAGGGAAACUUACGCUAAUACCGCAUACGACCUACGGGUGAAAGCAGGGGAUCUUCGGACCUUGCGCGAUUGAAUGAGCCGAUGUCGGAUUAGCUAGUUGGCGGGGUAAAGGCCCACCAAGGCGACGAUCCGUAGCUGGUCUGAGAGGAUGAUCAGCCACACUGGAACUGAGACACGGUCCAGACUCCUACGGGAGUCAGCAGUGGGGAAUAUUGGACAAUGGGCGCAAGCCUGAUCCAGCCAUACCGCGUGGGUGAAGAAGGCCUUCGGGUUGUAAAGCCCUUUUGUUGGGAAAGAAAUCCAGCUGGCUAAUACCCGGUUGGGAUGACGGUACCCAAAGAAUAAGCACCGGCUAACUUCGUGCCAGCCGCCGCAGUAA
rnacentral:rRNA from 1 species